rnacentral:rRNA from 1 species
GGCGUGUGACUGCGUACCUUUUGUAUAAUGGGUCAGCGACUUAUAUUCUGUAGCAAGGUUAACCGAAUAGGGGAGCCGAAGGGAAACCGAGUCUUAACUGGGCGUUAAGUUGCAGGGUAUAGACCCGAAACCCGGUGAUCUAGCCAUGGGCAGGUUGAAGGUUGGGUAACACUAACUGGAGGACCGAACCGACUAAUGUUGAAAAAUUAGCGGAUGACUUGUGGCUGGGGGUGAAAGGCCAAUCAAACCGGGAGAUAGCUGGUUCUCCCCGAAAGCUAUUUAGGUAGCGCCUCGUGAAUUCAUCUCCGGGGGUAGAGCACUGUUUCGGCAAGGGGGUCAUCCCGACUUACCAACCCGAUGCAAACUGCGAAUACCGGAGAAUGUUAUCACGGGAGACACACGGCGGGUGCUAACGUCCGUCGUGAAGAGGGAAACAACCCAGACCGCCAGCUAAGGUCCCAAAGUCAUGGUUAAGUGGGAAACGAUGUGGGAAGGCCCAGACAGCCAGGAUGUUGGCUUAGAAGCAGCCAUCAUUUAAAGAAAGCGUAAUAGCUCACUGGUCGAGUCGGCCUGCGCGGAAGAUGUAACGGGGCUAAACCAUGCACCGAAGCUGCGGCAGCGACGCUUAUGCGUUGUUGGGUAGGGGAGCGUUCUGUAAGCCUGCGAAGGUGUGCUGUGAGGCAUGCUGGAGGUAUCAGAAGUGCGAAUGCUGACAUAAGUAACGAUAAAGCGGGUGAAAAGCCCGCUCGCCGGAAGACCAAGGGUUCCUGUCCAACGUUAAUCGGGGCAGGGUGAGUCGACCCCUAAGGCGAGGCCGAAAGGCGUAGUCGAUGGGAAACAGGUUAAUAUUCCUGUACUUGGUGUUACUGCGAAGGGGGGACGGAGAAGGCUAUGUUGGCCGGGCGACGGUUGUCCCGGUUUAAGCGUGUAGGCUGGUUUUCCAGGCAAAUCCGGAAAAUCAAGGCUGAGG